rnacentral:rRNA from 1 species
UAUACAUUGGCAAAGUUCGAGCCGGACAGGAUGGGAGCUUGCUCCCUGAUGUUAGCGGCGGACGGGUGAGUAACACGUGGGUAACCUGCCUGUAAGACUGGGAUAACUCCGGGAAACCGGGGCUAAUACCGGAUGGUUGUCUGAACCGCAUGGUUCAGACAUAAAAGGUGGCUUCGGCUACCACUUACAGAUGGACCCGCGGCGCAUUAGCUAGUUGGUGAGGUAACGGCUCACCAAGGCGACGAUGCGUAGCCGACCUGAGAGGGUGAUCGGCCACACUGGGACUGAGACACGGCCCAGACUCCUACGGGAGGCAGCAGUAGGGAAUCUUCCGCAAUGGACGAAAGUCUGACGGAGCAACGCCGCGUGAGUGAUGAAGGUUUUCGGAUCGUAAAGCUCUGUUGUUAGGGAAGAACAAGUGCCGUUCAAAUAGGGCGGCACCUUGACGGUACCUAACCAGAAAGCCACGGCUAACUACGUGCCAGCAGCCGCGGUAAUACGUAGGUGGCAAGCGUUGUCCGGAAUUAUUGGGCGUAAAGGGCUCGCAGGCGGUUUCUUAAGUCUGAUGUGAAAGCCCCCGGCUCAACCGGGGAGGGUCAUUGGAAACUGGGGAACUUGAGUGCAGAAGAGGAGAGUGGAAUUCCACGUGUAGCGGUGAAAUGCGUAGAGAUGUGGAGGAACACCAGUGGCGAAGGCGACUCUCUGGUCUGUAACUGACGCUGAGGAGCGAAAGCGUGGGGAGCGAACAGGAUUAGAUACCCUGGUAGUCCACGCCGUAAACGAUGAGUGCUAAGUGUUAGGGGGUUUCCGCCCCUUAGUGCUGCAGCUAACGCAUUAAGCACUCCGCCUGGGGGAGUACGGUCGCAAGACUGAACUCAAAGGAAUUGACGGGGGCCCGCACAAGCGGGUGGGAGCAUGUGGUUUAUUUCGAAGCAACGCGGAAAGAACCUUUACCAGGGUCUUGACAUCCUCUGACAAUCCUAGAGAUAGGACGUUCCCCUUUCGGGGGCAGAGUGACAGGGGGAGCCAAUGGGUUGUCGUCAACUCGUGUCGGAAGAUGGUUGGGUUAAAUUCCCGCAAACCGAGGGCGCAACCCCGUGUUGGAGAUUCUUUAUGAGUUGUGCCCACGGACCAAUUC